AGUGGCGAACGGGUGAGUAACACGUGAGUAACCUGCCCUUAACUCUGGGAUAAGCCUUGGAAACGGGGUCUAAUACUGGAUAUUGACUUUACAUCGCAUGGUGUUUGGUUGAAAGAUUUAUUGGUUUUGGAUGGACUCGCGGCCUAUCAGCUUGUUGGUGAGGUAAUGGCUCACCAAGGCGACGACGGGUAGCCGGCCUGAGAGGGUGACCGGCCACACUGGGACUGAGACACGGCCCAGACUCCUACGGGAGGCAGCAGUGGGGAAUAUUGCACAAUGGGCGAAAGCCUGAUGCAGCGACGCCGCGUGAGGGAUGACGGCCUUCGGGUUGUAAACCUCUUUCAGUAGGGAACAAGGCCAGACGUUGUCUGGUUGAGGGUACUUGCAGAAGAAGCGCCGGCUAACUACGUGCCAGCAGCCGCGGUAAUACGUAGGGCG
rnacentral:rRNA from 1 species